GCCGGGAUUAGUGUGUGCGUAUACUAUACUGCCUGCUCGUUUACUUCCACAUUAUAAAGCAGACAGUUCUUCAAGGAUAUCGAAAAUGAGCCACGGUCGUAAAUGCAGUGCUGCAUGCUGAAACUUAGGCUACAAAGAAAGCGGAGACUUUCCAUAGUCUUCCCAAGGAUUCAAAAGUUCGAGGGACAUGGAUAAUGUUUUUCUACCAGAAGAUCCCUGCAAAGUUUGACACUCCGUUAUUAAUUUGCAAAACAUUUCACCGAAGGCAGUUUUCAAAACCUUGGACAGUUUAAAGCAGGAUUUGCUACGCUGCUGUUACUGAAACGAGGGGCUGUUCCGACCGUAAGGUCAUCACAACCGCAUGCUGUUUUAUCUUGCAGCCAUGCACUUCAAUGCGAAUGCUGAGUCCCCACAACAGAAGACAGCCAAGGAGAAACUAUGUACAGACUUGCCAAACAAUUUACAGGGAUCAUCAAAGACCCUCUACCUGAUUGGGAUGCCGUCCAGUGGAUUCCUGUGCCCCAGGACUUGUGUGCUCAGCUUGACAGACCUU